ensembl:lncRNA
UAUGUUACAACAUGGAUGAAAUUUGAGGAUAUUAUUCUAAGUGAAAUAUGACAAGAAAAAUACAGUAUAUGAUUCCACUUACACGAAGUACCUAGAUUAGCCAAAUUCACAGAAGUAGAAAGUAGAAUGGUGGCUACUAGGGGCUGAAGGGUGGAGAGAAUGGAGAAUUGUUUAACAAGCGCAGUUUAGCAAAAUGAAGCAUUCUAGAAAUUGUGUAACAAUGGGAAUGUACUUAACACUACUGAAUACUACACUUAAAACGGCUAAGAUGCUUUAUCAUCCUGCUGGGUCUCUUAAUGGUUUCAAGCCUCAGAGACAACCACUUCCCACUUUCAGCUGUUACCUCUAGUUGCCUUGACAUUACUAAAUAGCAUACUUACAUUGCUAUUUCUUGAUGUCCCAAUUGUGACAUUAUGCAUUACCUUUUUGUGAUGGAAGAUUUAGCUCUGAUGCAAUACUUUCUCCAACCCUACCACAUCAGCCCUUCUCUAAACCCCUGUCAAUUCUCUUCCUCACGUCUCUCUACUCUUCAGUCUCCAAAUAUAAUUCUAUGACUUUGGUUAUCCAUUGAUAAUGUUCAUUAUGGCCGUGUCAAUGUAACUUCACAGCAGAGACUUAUGCUGCACUGUGAUUUCAUUUUUUUUCUUGCAUAACGGUUUUUUUCCUGAGUUGGCAUCCUCAUUUGUUUUUUUUAAAAUUCAAUGUCAUUAAAUCUGCAUAAAAAAAAGUACCUGUUUUACAUGUAUUAUUUAAUAAACUUUGGUGAAUAUUGACGCCCUUGUUACCAUUACCCCAAUUAAAUACUAAAGCAUUUCCAUUAUCCCCAGUAAGUAAUUCCCUCCUGUUCUUUUUUUUGGGGGGGGU